UACGGAGGGGGCUAGCGUUGUUCGGAAUUACGGGGCGUAAAGCGCGCGUAGGCGGCUUUGUAAGUUAGAGGUGAAAGCCCGGGGCUCAACUCCGGAAUUGCCUUUAAAACUGCAUCGCUAGAGUUGUGGAGAGGUAAGUGGAAUUCCGAGUGUAGAGGUGAAAUUCGUAGAUAUUCGGAAGAACACCAGUGGCGAAGGCGACUUACUGGACACAUACUGACGCUGAGGUGCGAAAGCGUGGGGAGCAAACAGG
rnacentral:rRNA from 1 species